ensembl:snRNA U6 U6 spliceosomal RNA
GUGCUGGCUUCAGCAGCACACAUACUAAAAUUGGAAUGAUACAGAGAUUAGCACGGCCCCUGUGCAAAUGUGACACACAGAUGUAAAUGCCACGUCUCU